rnacentral:rRNA from 1 species
UACAGAGGGGGCAAGCGUUGUUCGGAAUUACUGGGCGUAAAGGGCGCGUAGGCGGCCAUCUAAGUCGAACGUGAAAUCCCCGGGCUCAACCCGGGGACUGCGUCCGAUACUGGUUGGCUUGAAUCCGGGAGAGGGAUGCGGAAUUCCAGGUGUAGCGGUGAAAUGCGUAGAUAUCUGGAGGAACACCGGUGGCGAAGGCGGCAUCCUGGACCGGCAUUGACGCUGAGGCGCGAAAGCCAGGGGAGCAAACGGG